rnacentral:lncRNA from 1 species
UUUAUUAAACCUAUCUUCUCCCCUAUAUAUAUCCCGUCAAAUACUCAAACCNNNNNNNNNNNNNNNNNNNNNNNNNNNNNNNNNNNNCCGCAAAAAAAAAAAAGAUUAUCUCUCUCUCUCUCUCUCUCUCUCUCUCUCCACAAAUUCACUUUCUAGAUUUUUCUUCAAAACUCAAACUCCAAUCUUUCAUCUCUUUUCUCAACCACACAAACUAUGAAGAAGUCCGGCCUCUUCGCCGCUACAAUCGCCGCCGCAUCAGCCACCGCUGUCACCGUUUCAUCUUCCGCAAACAACUCUCACCAUCAUCAGGUACUUACUUUACUACUUUUUCUUUUGUUCUUUAUCUUUAAACCCUGGAUCUGAUAUUUCUUGAAUGGUUUUUGAUUUUGUUGUUUGUAAUUUGUGUUUUUCAGGAAAGUACUUCUGAGAAAAGAAAUCGCAAUGAGAAUUCUUCGUCGGAGAAAUUUGCGCCGAGAUUUGAUGGUUUGCGGUUCAUUGAAACGCUUAUAACUGCUCAUAGAUGAAAGGGGUUUUCGAAUUUUCGCUGAAUUUCAAUGAAUCUGUUUCUUCAUCUUGUUGGCCUCUGUUUGGUUUAGAGAAGAAGAUUUCACUUGUUGGAAAUAUUUCUUUUUAGUUUUUUUUUAGAAUGAAUUAAUAGGAGAAAUAUUGAAAAAAAGAUAAUUUGUAAUGUUACGAAAUUAUUUGGUGCUUUUCUUUUUUGUGACCUAUUUAUGGGUAAUGAAAAAUUAAAGUAUAAAGUUUUGAAUGAUUAUGUACCAAAAAAAAGUUUUGAAUGAUUUGUGCUAAAAUAUUUUUAUUCAUUUAUCAUUUAUUUAAUUGUUUCCCUUAUAUUUUCUUUCUAAAGAAAAUUAGAUUAGACUAUUUGUGU